AUGGCGCGCCCCGGGCACGCCAUGCGCCGCUCCGGCCGAGGACUGUUUGAAGAUGCCCCAAGGAAACUAUCAUUUAAUUUGUUGGUUGUUAUAUUGGCUCUGGAAUUUAUCAGUGAGACCAAUUUGAUUGCCAAAACAUUGGCCCUAAAGGCUGACACUCCUGCUAUGCCUCCUUCACAAGGAUGGGGUCCAGUUCGGACCAUGUUGUCCCAAACCAAAGUUGGCACAAGUGUUGCAAUGCAUCAGCAUAGGCAAAAGAAGCUAUAUUCAUCGCCAUCUGCUCUGUCAUCUGUGCAUCCUCCUAUCUCCGCACCGAGUUAUAGCUCCAUCUCUGGUGCUUCUGACCUCUCCUUGUAUUCCUUGGACCUGUUCGAUCCUUCGCUGCAGCAUAACAGGCGCUUAGCAGAAGAUGUUCCUGCUCAUGAAAAUGCUGCACCCCCUGAUGCAGCUUCGAAUACUAGUGCAGCUCCUUCUGGAUUAGUACAGCCCCCAAUAUCUCCACACGAUGGCUGUUGUGCUCCAAACAUGGUACAAAGACGAGGGAGCCAGGACUGCCAUUGUGUUUACCCAGUUAGAGUUGAGCUCUUCCUUCACAAUGUUUCCUUGAAUUCAAAUUGGAGCAACGAAUUUCUCGAGGAGCUCGCGUCGCAGCUCAGCUUGCGGGUUACACAGUUUGAGAUUGUAAAUUUCUAUGUUGUUGGAACUUCUGGGCUAAAUAUGACAAUGGACAUAGCUCCCCACACUGGAAAUAGUUUCUCAUCUAAUCAAGUUACUGCGAUGAAUUAUUCUCUUAGCUCGCAUACAGUUCGGAUCAAUCCGGUGCUGGUCGGGGAUUACAAUCUUAUUAAUUUAACGUGGUUCAGGCCAUUGGGUCCAGCUCCUGCUCCAGCAUUCAUGAUAUCACCUAAGGCAUCUCCAUCUACAUCAUCUGCCUUACCAAAAAGGAGUGACAACACCAGCAGUAGCAGGCACUUGAGCCUGAUCACUGUCAUUUGCAUAUGUAUUGGUGCUCUAAUUGGUGUCCUGGUGAUUGUUCUAUUUAUUUGCUUCUGCACAUUUAGGAAUGGAAAGAAGAAGGCGCCUCCUGUUGAAACACCCAAGCAAAGGACACCAGAUGCAGUAUCUGCAGUUGAAUCACUUCCUCGCCCCACAAGUACUAGGUUCCUUGCAUAUGAAGAACUUAAAGAAGCAACAAACAACUUUGAGGCUUCAUGUGUGCUUGGGGAAGGUGGUUUUGGCCGUGUCUUUAAGGGGAUACUAAGUGAUGGCACUGCUGUUGCUAUUAAGAAGCUUACUACUGGGGGGCACCAAGGAGAUAAGGAGUUUCUAGUUGAAGUGGAGAUGCUGAGCAGAUUGCACCACCGCAAUCUUGUGAAACUCAUUGGAUACUAUAGCAACCGUGAAUUGUCACAAAGCCUUCUUUGUUAUGAGCUUGUUCCUAAUGGAAGCCUAGAAGCUUGGCUUCAUGGCUCAUUAGGCGCUGACUGCCCCUUGGAUUGGGACACCAGAAUGAAGAUAGCACUUGAUGCUGCAAGGGGAUUAGCAUACCUUCACGAGGAUUCACAGCCUUGUGUAAUCCACAGGGAUUUCAAAGCUUCUAAUAUAUUGCUUGAGAAUGACUUUCAUGCUAAAGUGUCUGAUUUUGGUUUGGCCAAACAGGCGCCAGAAGGGCGCUUAAAUUAUCUUUCAACUCGUGUUAUGGGAACUUUUGGGUACGUAGCACCCGAGUAUGCAAUGACAGGACACUUAAUUGUAAAAAGUGAUGUAUAUAGCUAUGGAGUUGUUCUACUUGAACUACUUACUGGGAGGAGGCCUGUGGACAUGUCACAAUCUUCGGGGCAGGAGAAUCUAGUCACAUGGACACGGCCAGUUCUUCGGGAUAAAGAUAGGCUACAGGAACUAGCUGACCCCAAGCUUGGUGGACAAUAUCCGAAAGAUGAUUUUGUGAGGGUGUGCACAAUCGCAGCAGCCUGUGUUUCCCCGGAGGCGAACCAAAGGCCAACGAUGGGCGAGGUGGUGCAGUCACUUAAGAUGGUGCAACGCUCCAAGGAGUUCCAGGAAUCUGUACCGACACCGCCCGCUUGUCCUAAUGCCCGGCAUACUGCAACGACCUAUGAAUCUGAUGGCACUUCAUCCAUGUUCUCAUCCGGGCCCUUCUCAGGCCUCAGCCCCUUUGAGACUGAAAACAUGUCAAGAACGGCGGUUUUCUCGGAAGAUCUUCACGAAGGUAGAUGA
rnacentral:rRNA from 1 species